rnacentral:rRNA from 1 species
UACGUAGGGGGCAAGCGUUAUCCGGAUUUACUGGGUGUAAAGGGAGCGUAGACGGCUCUGCAAGUCUGGAGUGAAAGCCCGGGGCUCAACCCCGGGACUGCUUUGGAAACUGUGGAGCUAGAGUGCAGGAGAGGUAAGUGGAAUUCCUAGUGUAGCGGUGAAAUGCGUAGAUAUUAGGAGGAACACCAGUGGCGAAGGCGGCUUACUGGACUGUAACUGACGUUGAGGCUCGAAGGCCAGGGGAGCAAACGGG